AGAAGCUGCGUGUUCCAUGUGGUACACGUGUAAGCUAGUGGAGCCUCACUGACCACAGUACGUUUGCAGGUGAUAGAUGUGAAUUCUCAUUAAGAGGGAGAUUGGAGACAGGAAAAAUCUGAAUUCCUCACUCACAACCCAAGUCUGAUCUUGGCUGACUUGACUCCUGUUCCAAAUGUCCACAAAGACUAUCACAGACACAGAGAGACCAGCCCC